CCUACGGGGGGCAGCAGUGGGGAAUAUUGGACAAUGGGGGGAACCCUGAUCCAGCCAUGCCGCGUGUGUGAAGAAGGCCCUCGGGUUGUAAAGCACUUUCAGUGAGGAAGAACGCCUGGUGGUUAAUACCCAUCAGGAAAGACAUCACUCACAGAAGAAGCACCGGCUAACUCCGUGCCAGCAGCCGCGGUAAUACGGAGGGUGCGAGCGUUAAUCGGAAUUACUGGGCGUAAAGCGCGCGUAGGUGGCUUGAUAAGCCGGUUGUGAAAGCCCCGGGCUCAACCUGGGCACGGCAUCCGGAACUGUCAAGCUAGAGUGCAGGAGAGGAAGGUAGAAUUCCCGGUGUAGCGGUGAAAUGCGUAGAGAUCGGGAGGAAUACCAGUGGCGAAGGCGGCCUUCUGGACUGACACUGACACUGAGGUGCGAAAGCGUGGGUAGCAAACAGGAUUAGAUACCCUUGUAGUC
rnacentral:rRNA from 1 species